GGAAAGUGUGGAAAUGUAAAAGUGUAAGGUAAAAUUAAUCAUAUAGCCUAUUCACAGUUACACAAUCGAGGAAGAUUUUUAUAAAAUGGAAUACACAAUGAACCAUUUUUUCUGAGGUUGAAAAAUGUCUUUCAAGCCAUUUUUUCUUUCUUUGAUUCUGCUAAGUUUGCAUUUUUUCAGCAAGCAGCUGUAUUUUAAAAGAAAAGAUUGUGACUGUCUACAUACCAGAAAUCUGAAAAAUGGAGAUACAGCAGGAAUGCAGGUCCAGGAAAGCAAGCAUGUUGGCAAGAGAAAAAAAGACACCAUGAGUGAGUUAUGCAUAGUUUCCCUAUGCCUUAGCAAGCAGCAAAGAUAUGCGGCAGGACAUGUAUGUGUGUGUGGAUGCCUGGUGGUGAUUAUUUCCAGAAGCUUCUCUCUUGAUUUCCAGCGUUGUUUUGGGGAAAGAUGUUGUUCCCCAGGGAUCAGAACCAGGGCCCCACCUAUUUUUCCUUGUCUUGGGCUGGACUGCUGUAACACAUCAAUUUCCCUUGGGGAUCAAUAAAGUCUUAUCUAUCUAUCUACCUCUGCAAAGGCUUGGAA